CCGGCUGUGGCAACGGCCGGCGAGCUCCGCCACGAUCGACCACGAGCCGCCACCACCGUCGGGCUUCUCCCCCUCGACCCACCUAGCGCCGGAGGUGGAGGAGCGGCAAGGGGUGGCGCUGGGACGGAGGAGGAGGAGCACGGAUUCGGCGCCGACGAGCUUCUCCACGAAUCGGUCCAUGCGUGAGAUGGCGGGGGCGUAUGUGUGAUGGCGCUGCUCCGUGAGAUCCAUGGACGUGAGAUGCGAAGACAUGCCAAAGAGACACAUGCGACCAAAUGAGGCCACCGCCACGCCUGGCCGCGGGUGGUUGGAUGAUGGCGUCGGUCACAUAGCGUGCCGAGCAACGGCAGUGAGUGUGCGUCGAGCGAUGGCUUUGGAUUUCCGAUAUGAAGCAACAUUUGUACAUGCCCCGUUCCAGAAUAUGCAGAGAAGAUGGUCGCUGCAAUUGAUGAAGAACGAGUUGAUGGAAAUUAGAUUGGUGGAGUGGCCACAUGUAUUGCGAGAAAUGUUCCUCGUGUAGGUACUACCAUGUUAUGUUCAUUUUGGUGUGUUCCAGCAUAAUAAACCAAAUAAGGCCCCCUCUAUUUUUUUUCUAAUCACGAGCAUGGUUUGGGCUACAUCAUAUAUAGUAACACAAUGACUUUGGAUUUUCGGUAU